rnacentral:rRNA from 1 species
GAUGAACGCUGGCGGCGUGCCUAAUACAUGCAAGUCGAGCGAACAGACGAGGUGCUUGCUCCUCUUACGUUAGCGGCGGACGGGUGAGUAACACGUGGAUAACCUACCUAUAAGACUGGGAUAACUUCCGGAAACCUGACCUAUUCCCCGUAUUUAUAUUGAACCACAUGGUUCAUUCGUGAUAGGCGGUUUUGCUGUCACUUAUAGAUGGUUCCGCGCUGCAUUCGCUAGUUGGUAAGGUAACGGCUUACCACGGCAACGAUGCGUAGCCGACCUGAGAGGGUGAUUGGCCAGCCGGGAACAGAGGCACGGUCCAGAGUCCGGAGGGAGGACGCAGUAGGGAAUCUUACGCAAUGGGCGAAAGCCUGACGGAGCACAGCCGCGUGAGGGAUGAAGGUCUACGGAUGGGAACACUCUGUUAUUAGGGAAGAACUAAUGUGUAAGUAACUAUGCGCAACUUGACGGUAACUAAUCAGAAAGCCACGGCUAACUACGUG